rnacentral:sRNA from 1 species
AACAGGAAGAAGCUUGCUUCUUUGCUGACGAGUGGCGGACGGGUGAGUAAUGUCUGGGAAACUGCCUGAUGGAGGGGGAUAACUACUGGAAACGGUAGCUAAUACCGCAUAACGUCGCAAGACCAAAGAGGGGGACCUUCGGGCCUCUUGCCAUCGGAUGUGCCCAGAUGGGAUUAGCUAGUAGGUGGGGUAACGGCUCACCUAGGCGAAGAUCCCUAGCUGGUCUGAGAGGAUGACCAGCCACACUUUUUCUCUGACACGGUGAAGACUCCUACGGUAGGUCGNUGUGGNUGAUUCUAGAAAUCUCCUGCAAAUUU